rnacentral:rRNA from 1 species
CCAGAGAAUUUAGCAGAGAUGCUUUAGUGCCUUCGGGAACUCUGAGACAGGUGCUGCAUGGCUGUCGUCAGCUCGUGUUGUGAAAUGUUGGGUUAAGUCCCGCAACGAGCGCAACCCUUAUCCUUUGUUGCCAGCACGUAAUGGUGGGAACUCAAAGGAGACUGCCGGUGAUAAACCGGAGGAAGGUGGGGAUGACGUCAAGUCAUCAUGGCCCUUACGAGUAGGGCUACACACGUGCUACAAUGGCGCAUACAAAGAGAAGCGACCUCGCGAGAGCAAGCGGACCUCAUAAAGUGCGUCGUAGUCCGGAUUGGAGUCUGCAACUCGACUCCAUGAAGUCGGAAUCGCUAGUAAUCGUAAAUCAGAAUGUUACGGUGAAUACGUUCCCGGGCCUUGUACACACCGCCCGUCACACCAUGGGAGUGGGUUGCAAAAGAAGUAGAUAGCUUAACCUUCGGGAGGGCGUUUACCACUUUGUGAUUCAUGACUGGGGUGAAGUCGUAACAAGGUAGGCGUAGUGCU